AUUGAACGCUGGCGGCAGGCCUAACACAUGCAAGUCGAACGAGUGGCGGACGGGUGAGUAAUGUCUGGGAAACUGCCCGAUGGAGGGGGAUAACGCAGGGAAACUUACGAUAAUAUCGCAUACGACUGAAUGAGCCGCUGUCGGAGUAGCUAGUUGGCGGGGUAAAGGCUCACCAAGGCGACGAUCCGGAGCUGGUCUGAGAGGAUGAUCAGCCACACUGGAACUGAGACACGGUCCAGACUCCUACGGGAGGCAGCAGUGGGGAAUAUUGCACAAUGGGCGCAAGCCUGAUCCAGCCAUACCGCGUGGGUGAAGAAGGUCUUCGGAUUGUAAAGCUCUUUAAGUUGGGAGGCGUUACCAACAGAAUAAGCACCGGCUAACUUCGUGCCAGCCGCCGCGGUAAUAC
rnacentral:rRNA from 1 species